CGUAGGUGGCGAGCGUUGUCCGGAAUUACUGGGUGUAAAGGGCGUGUAGGCGGGGAUGUAAGUCAGAUGUGAAAUUCCCAGGCUCAACUUGGGCGCUGCAUCUGAAACUAUAUCUCUUGAGUGCUGGAGAGGAAAGCGGAAUUCCUAGUGUAGCGGUGAAAUGCGUAGAUAUUAGGAGGAACACCAGUGGCGAAGGCGGCUUUCUGGACAGUAACUGACGCUGAGGCGCGAAAGCGUGGGGAGCAAACAGGAUUAGAUACCCUGGUAGUCCACGCUGUAAACGAUGGAUACUAGGUGUAGGAGGUAUCGACCCCUUCUGUGCCGGAGUUAACACAAUAAGUAUCCCACCUGGGGAGUACGGCCGCAAGGUUG
rnacentral:rRNA from 1 species